AGCCUGCAAUUGAAAACAAACACGACACGUCAUAACUCUGCACAAAAAAGACAAUCCCUUAAACUAUUCAAGUUUAACAUUUAAUUUUGUACAUAAUGAGAAGUGAGUACUAUUAUCAAUCAAGAGGAGCAAACGAAGCAACAACCAAUUCAAUCAGAAAAACGACAACAGGUAAGUUUGUAAUUGCAAAUUCGUCAACCAAAUAUCAGCAAAAAGGGGCAUUUGCAAGGUAAGUUUGUAAUUGCAAAUCAUUUACAUUCUAAUAUUCAAUUGUAAAUGGUUUUUGUUUUGGAGGAAAUUAGGGAAUGACCAAGAUAUAUAAAGUUCGUCUUUUCACAAUUUAUCAUUUCUAACUAUAGAAUACUUUCUGAAAUUAACAAAAAAAUAAUAAUUUCGGUGACAUUUUCAUUCAGAUAAAAAAUUGGAGACAUUUUCGUGCAUUUUUACAAAUUGUAGAAGAAAAUUUUUUUAAAGCCGAAAAUAUUAUACCCAAAAAAUUUGAGAAGAAAAAUAAUGGUCAUAUAGAACUAUAACUUUAAAAAAAUGUUUACAAAAAAACGUUGUUCAUUUUUUCGUGCAUUUUCUAAGGAUUGUAAAAGCAACCAUUUUUAUCACCCACAAAAUUUUAUCCAAAAAAGUUGAAAAGAAAUAUAAUGGUCACAGAUUUAAAACAGAGAACUGUAACUUUUUUUAAAAAAAAGUGUUAAAAAUCACAAUCUUUUCUAUACGAAUUCGAAAAAUUAAACUUAUUUCCAUGAAAUCUGUAAUUUGUCUCGCAUGCAAAAAAUUAAUGAAAUUGUUAGCCCCAAUAACAAACUUUCCAUUACGAGAAAAAAAUCUCUCCAUUACAAAUUUUUAAAGUGUUUUUUUUUUUUUAAAAAAAAAACAUCUCCCAAUAAUUCAAAUCUAACUAUAAUUUCUCAACAAGAAAAGUUUAAAGAACAAACUUUUCAUGGAAUAAUAGCAACUUACGAAGAGAAAGAUUGGGAAAUACCACCAGAAAACAGAGAUCAGUACAGCAGCAAUGUCUUACAAACCAGAACACUAGAUGACAAUCGCACUGUCUAGAAUAUAGCCCAAGAUGUGCCGGAUAAUAUGCCAAAAUUUUAGCUAAAUCGAACCACAAAAGACCAUUGAUCGGAGGUGUUUUGUGAAGAUGUGCCCAAAAACACAUGAAGUGCUCUCUUCUUCUUUCUGUUAUCUUCUCUCACAUGCAAAUAACAAAGUGGUGUGAUUUGAAUUAGAGUUAGAAUAUGAGAACAUAAACAAGUGGUGUAAUGUUAUAUUAUGUUUAGAGUAUCUUAUAAGCCAUUUUCAUAUUA